UACGAAGGGUGCUAGCGUUGUUCGGAAUUACUGGGCGUAAAGCGAACGUAGGCGGUGUUCCAUGUCAGAGGUGAAAGCCUGGGGCUCAACUCCAGAAUUGCCUUUGAAACGGGGACGCUUGAGUCCGAGAGAGGGUGGCGGAAUUCCUAGUGUAGAGGUGAAAUUCGUAGAUAUUAGGAAGAACACCAGUGGCGAAGGCGGCCACCUGGCUCGGUACUGACGCUCAGGUUCGAAAGCGUGGGGAGCAAACAGG
rnacentral:rRNA from 1 species